AUCCUCUCAGAGUUGCACCUGGAGAGUUUCCAGUACUCUACCAGUCUCGACUACAGGAGGGAGAGUCAAGCAGAGGCCUAUCCAUUCCAUUCCCAGGUUGGGCAGUGGCUGGCGAGUGGAUGCAUCCUGCUACAAGU